UUCAACAAUAUUUUCAAUAAAAACAUACGC
rnacentral:sRNA from 1 species